UACGAAGGUCCCGAGCGUUGUUCGGAAUCACUGGGUUUAAAGGGUGCGUAGGCGGACAGGUAAGUCAGUGGUGAAAUCUCCGAGCUUAACUCGGAAACUGCCGUUGAUACUAUUUGUCUUGAAUAUUGUGGAGGUAAGCGGAAUAUGUCAUGUAGCGGUGAAAUGCUUAGAUAUGACAUAGAACACCAAUUGCGAAGGCAGCUUACUACACAAUGAUUGACGCUGAGGCACGAAAGCGUGGGGAUCAAACAGG
rnacentral:rRNA from 1 species